UACGUAGGGUGCGAGCGUUGUCCGGAAUUAUUGGGCGUAAAGAGCUCGUAGGCGGUCUGUCGCGUCGGAUGUGAAACCCGGGGCUUAACCCUGGGCCUGCAUUCGAUACGGGCAGACUAGAGUUCGGUAGGGGAGACGUGGAAUUCCUGGUGUAGCGGUGAAAUGACGCAGAUAUCAGGAGGAACACCGGUGGCGAAGGCGGGUCUCUAGGCCGAUACUGACGCUGAGGAGCGAAAGCGUGGGGAGCGAACAGG
rnacentral:rRNA from 1 species